rfam:Cuculus canorus isolate BGI_N303 unplaced genomic scaffold scaffold1150, whole genome shotgun sequence.
CCGGGUGUGAUGACUCCGGUGCUGCCUGAGCUGCUGUGAUGCUGCUGUAUUCGUACUGUCUGACCCGG